rnacentral:rRNA from 1 species
GGGGCGAAAGACUAAUCGAACCAUCUAGUAGCUGGUUCCCUCCGAAGUUUCCCUCAGGAUAGCUGGCGCUCUCGCAACCCACGCAGUUUU